rnacentral:rRNA from 1 species
UACGUAGGGGGCUAGCGUUGUCCGGAAUCAUUGGGCGUAAAGAGCGUGUAGGCGGCCCGGUAAGUCCGCUGUGAAAGUCGGGGGCUCAACCCUCGAAUGCCGGUGGAUACUGUCGGGCUAGAGUGCGGAAGAGGCGAGUGGAAUUCCUGGUGUAGCGGUGAAAUGCGCAGAUAUCAGGAGGAACACCGGUGGCGAAGGCGGGUCUCUGGGCCGAUACUGACGCUGAGGAGCGAAAGCAUGGGGAGCGAACAGG